rfam:Oryza rufipogon genomic scaffold, chr07
UUUAAGUGCAACCAUGAGUUUUUGUGUCCAAUUUUGAUCGUCCGUCUUAUUUGAAAAAAAAUUUAAUUAGUAUUUUUGUUGUUAUGAGAUGAUAAAAUAUGAAUAACACUUUAUGCGUGAUUUAUAUUUUUAAUUUUUUUCAAAAAAUUUUCAAAUAAGGUGAACGAUCAACUAGUUGAGUACGGAAAAACAUGACUGCACUUAGA